UAAGUGGACAGUUUGAUUUCACAGAAGUGUGAUUUGACUUGGAGUUACAUUGUGUUGUUUAAGUGUUCCCUUUAUUUUUUUGAGCAGUUUUUUCAGAUUAAUGAGCAAUUGGAAAUGAUCCACAUACCCAAAACCCUAUCCUCCAAAAGAAUAAUAAAGGUUGAGUGCAGGAGUACUUUACAUCCUCUGGCUGUGUAUUGGGGGUGGGCCAGAAGGGGUGAAGGUUCACAGGACCCUGCACCCGGCCCUGCAGGAGCUGUUAGAGGGUGGUUAGCCCCCGGGGCAGCUCAACACAGAGUGUCAUCGUCUCUGGAUCCACCGCUGAUGUGAAUGAGUGUGUGACCCAGCUGGUGCUGUGUGACGUCAACGCAGAGUGUGUGAACCGCUUUGGUUCCUAUGCAUGCCGAUGCCACUCCGGGUUCGAGGACAUGUCUAGGCUGGGCUCAGGAGGAACCAUUUGCGUGGACACCAAGGCCGCUGGUGUGGACCCCCACAAUGAGUUGACGAUUACGAUAGAUCAGCAUAGUCCUGAGCAGCAGCACUGUAACACUGGCUGUAAUUCGGAACAGUCCAGCGGGAUGAUCAAAGGCACACGUGGUGUGUUUCUUGUUCAGCUUCCCCAUCCUGCUGCUCCUCUGUACCGUGGGCGUGCUGUACCACCGCCACCACCGGGGGGCCUUCCUGGUCCACUGUCGGCGCAGCAGCCUCGGGAGCAUCCCCCCUCCUGACUGCAAAAACAGUUCCAUCCGCACCAACUCGGAGCUGCCCCCACCCAUACGGCGCCCUAAGGAGAGCUGGGCUCGCCCUAAGGACUGCUGCCCCUCGGUGGACCUGCCCUUGCUGCGCUUCAGCCCCCUGCUGCCUCUUGAUGGGUACAUGGAGCCAGGGGAGGGUGUCAAGCUUUGAAGAGAAGAUUACUUUGUGGUUGUCCUGCAUGUGCAAUGAAAACAUUGAGACUCUAUUCUGGGCAGGUUGACUUCACUGUUUCAUGAGUUCAUUCUUUGCCUUUCCUCUCAUGAUGAAAUAACUUAUUACUGUAGUAUGACAUUAUCUUUGUGUGUAGUUUGGAUAUGAUGUAUUCUUUGGCUCAUUGUUUCUAGUAUAUUUCAGUAAUUGUCAUUUUCCAUGAUUGGGAAGAUUGUCUAUGCUCUCCACACAAGGGGAUUCAUUCAUCUUUCCUCCCAAAACAGCUUCACAUCGAUUAAAUAAAUGUUAACUUGGC
ensembl:lncRNA